GAUGAACGAUGGCGGAGGGAAGAAUAAAGGCAAGUCGAGCGAACGGACGAGAAGCUUGCUUCUCUGAUGUUAGCGGCGGACGGGUGAGUAACACGUGGAUAACCUACCUAUGAGACUGGGAUAACUUCGGGAAACCGGAGCUAAUACCGGAUAAUAUUUUGAACCGCAUGGUUCAAAAGUGAAAGACGGUCUUGCUGUCACUUAUAGAUGGAUCCGCGCUGCAUUAGCUAGUUGGUAAGGUAACGGCUUACCAAGGCAACGAUGCAUAGCCGACCUGAGAGGGUGAUCGGCCACACUGGAACUGAGACACGGUCCAGACUCCUACGGGAGGCAGCAGUAGGGAAUCUUCCGCAAUGGGCGAAAGCCUGACGGAGCAACGCCGCGUGAGUGAUGAAGGUCUUCGGAUCGUAACCCUCUGUUAUUAGGGAAGAACAUAUGUGUAAGUAACUGUGCACAUCUUGACGGUACCUAAUCAGAAAGCCCCGGCUCCCUACGUC
rnacentral:rRNA from 1 species